rnacentral:rRNA from 1 species
GACGAACCGUGCGAACGUUGUUCGGAAUCACUGGGCUUAAAGGGCGCGUAGGCGGGUCGCCAAGUCAGGGGUGAAAUACUCCGGCUCAACCGGAGCAGUGCUUCUGAUACUGGCGACCUCGAGGGGUGUAGGGGCAUGUGGAACUUCCGGUGGAGCGGUGAAAUGCGUAGAUAUCAGGAGGAACACCGGCGGUGUAGACGGCUAUCUGGACAGUAACUGACGCUGAGACACGAAAGCGUGGGGAGCAAACAGG